GUGUAUGCAGGCUGCGUGGCUCUGUGUUGUCAGUGGUUGAGAUGUGUAUGUAAGCUGCGUGGCUCCGUGCUGUACGUGGCUGAGCUGUGUAUGCAGGCUGAGCGCUGGCUCUGUGCUGUCAGUGGCUGAGCUGUGUUUGCAGGCUGCGUGGCUCUGUGCUGUCAGUGGCUGAGGUGUAUGGGCUCUGUGCUGUAUCAUUGGUGAGCUGUGUAUGCAGGCUGGGCUCUGUGCUGUCGUAGGCUGUGUUUGCAGGCUGCGUGGCUCCGUGCUGUCAGUGGCUGAGCUGUGUAUGCAGGCUGCGUGGCUCUGUGCUGUCAGUGGCUGAGCUGUGUAUGCAGGCUGCGUGGCUCCGUGCUGUCAGUGGCUGAGCUGUGUAUGCAGGCUGCGUGGCUCUGUGCUGUCAGUGGCUGAGCUGUGUUUGCAGGCUGCGUGGCUCCGUGCUGUCAGUGGCUGAGCUGUGUAUGCAGGCUGC